rnacentral:rRNA from 1 species
UGGGGAAUAUUGCGCAAUGGGGGAAACCCUGACGCAGCAACGCCGCGUGAGUGAUGAAGGCCUUCGGGUUGUAAAGCUCUUUCGGCUGGGAAGAAGGGUGGGCUUUUUAAUAAAGAGUUCAUUUGAUGGUACCAGAGUAAGAAGCACCGGCUAACUUCGUGCCAGCAGCCGCGGUAAUACGAAGGGUGCAAGCGUUGUUCGGAAUUACUGGGCGUAAAGGGUUCGUAGGCGGAAAGAUAAGUCAAGUGUGAAAUCCCCAAGCUCAACUUGGGACGUGCAUUUGAAACUAUUUUUCUUGAGUGUUAGAGAGGGUGGUGGAAUUGCUGGUGUAGGAGUGACAUCCGUAGAGAUCAGCAGGAACACCGGAGGCGAAGGCGACCACCUGGCUAAAUACUGACGCUGAGGAACGAAAGCGUGGGGAGCAAACAGG